rnacentral:lncRNA from 10 species
UAGCUACUCAGGAGGCUGAGAUGAGAGAAUUGCUUGAGGCUUGGAGGCAGAAGCUGCUGUGAGUCAUGAUGACACCAUUUUACUCCAGCCCGGCUGACAGAGUGAGACCCUGUCUAAAAAAGAAAAAGGAAUAAAAGAAUAGACAAAUUGGCUGGGCACAGUGGUUCACGCCUGUAAUCCCAACACUUUGGGAGGCCGAGGAGGGUGGAUCAUGAGGUCAGGAGUUCAAGUCCAGCCUGGCCAACAUAGUGAAACCCCGUCUCUACUAAAAAUACAAAAAUUAGCCAGGCAUGGUGGCAAGUGCCUGUAGUCCCAGCUACUCAGGAGGCUGAGGCAGGAGAAUCACUUGAACCUGGAAGGUAGAGUUUGCAUUGAGCUGACAUCGAGCCACUGCACUCCAGUUUGGGCAACAGAGUGAGGCUUCGUCUCAAAAAAAAAAAAAAGAAUAGACAAAUUGAUCCAUUGACAAGAAUAGAGAGCUGAGAAAGAGAUCUAUGCAAAUAAGGUCAAGUAAAUUUUGAAAAAUAACAAGGCAAUUCAAUGGAGAAAAAUAUGUUUCUCAAUAAAUGUUGGAACAACUGGAAAUCCAAGAAGGAAAAAAAGUAUCUGAAUAUGCAAUAUGUAAUAUAUUAUCAGUAGGUGUUUAUAGAAUAUGAAAAAAAGUUUAUUUAGACGCUGACCUUACCUCUGUCACACAAAAUAACCUAAAAUAUAUCAUAAAACUAAGUUGUAAAAAAUGACACUAUAAAAUUUCUAAAAGGUAAUUUGGAGAACAUUUGGUGCUCUUGGGUUUAGUGAUGACUUUUUAGAUACAUCACUGAAAACAUGAUCCAUGAAAGUCAAAAUUAAUAAGAUGUAAUUCAUUAAAAUUCAAAAAAUUUUGCUCUAUGAAAGGCACUGUUAAGAGGAAAAAAAAGAAGUCGCAAAUGAAGAGAGAUAUUUGCAAAACACACAUCUGAAAAAGGACAUGCAUGCGUAACAUAUGAAGAAUAUUUAAAACUCAAGCAUCCAUUAACAGAUAAAUGGAUAAAGAAAAUAUACAUUAUACCUUGAAAUACUAGUCAGUCUGAGAAAAGAAGAAAAUUCUGUCAAAACAUAAAAUUUGUGACAACAUGGAUGAACUUGGAGGAUGUUGUGCUCAGUGAGUAAGACAAACACAGAAAGACAAGCAGCAAAUGUUCUCACGUAUAGGUGAAAUCUAAAAUAACCAAACUUAUAGAAGAAGAGAGUAAAAUGAUGGGUAGCAGAGGCUAAGGAGUUGGAAGAAUGGAAAGAUGUUGGUCAAAGGAUACAACGUGUCAAUUAUACAGGAGAAAUAAGAGUUUUUUUGAGAUAUAUUGCACAGAAGGGUGAAUAUAGUUAACAAUAAUGUAUUGUUCAUUUCAAAAUUGCUGAGCACAUUUUGAAUGACCUGAUCACAAAAAAAUAAAUAUAUGAGGUGAUGGAUGUUUUAAUUGGCUUGAUUUAGUCAUCGCACAUUGUAUUCAUAAAUUAUAAAAUCACUUUGUACCCCAUAAAUAUAUACAAUUAUAAUUUGUCAAUUUGCAAUAAAACAAAAUAAAAUAUAUUUUUAUAAAACCUCAAGGUAAGAAAAUUUAAAAAUAUGAACAGACAUUUUAGCAAAGAAGAUACACAGAUGGCAAAUAGCAUAUAAGUAGAUGCUUAACAAUAUAUGUCAUUAGAAAAUGGUGAACAAAACAAUAAGAUUCUACUAUACACCUAUUAGAAUGCCUUAAAUCCAAAACAUGAACAACAGCAAUAGUUAGUAAGGAUGGGAGGAAACAGGAAAUCUCAUUCAUUGCUUGUGGGAAUGCAAAAUGAUACAGUCACUUCGGUAGACAGCUUGACAGUUCCUAACAAAACUAAGCAUUGUCAUACAACAAAAUUUAGCAAUUGUGCUCCUAGAUAUUUAUCCAAAUGAGUUGGAAACAUCUAUCUAUCCAAAAACUUGGACAUGAAUGCUUAUAGUAAACAUUUUGUCCAUAAUACCCCAAAGUUGGAAGCAUCCAAAUGCCUAUUAAUAGGUGAAUGGAUAAAUCAACCAUGUUACAUCUAUACAAUGGAAUAUUAUUCAGCACUUGCACACAAAAAUGAGUUAUCAAGCCAUGAAAAGACAUAGAGAAAACUUUACUGCCUAUUAAUAAUUAAAAUAAGGCAGUCUAUAAAGGCUACAUAUUGUGUGAUUCCAACUAUAUGACAUUCUAGCAUUGGUGGUUCAGUAGUAGAAUUCUCGCCUGCCAACUAUAUGACAUUCUGGAAAUGGCAAAGCUAUAGAGAUCAGAUUUUCUAGGGGUUCAGGGGGAGGGAGGGAGAGAGGGAUAAAUAGGAAAUUAUUUUGUAUGAUACUGAAAGGUGGAUAGGUGACUUUAUGCAUUUGUCAAACUCCAUAAUUGAUGACAUUCUAGUAAUGCAUGAUGUUAAUAAUGAAGCAAACCAUGGGAAGUGGGGGGCACAGGAGGUGGUUUAUGGGAAAUCUCUGUACUUUCUGCUUAAUUCUCUGUAAACCUAAUAAUGCUGUAAAUGUGGUUCAUUAAUUAAAAAGUAUCCUACCACAAUUUAGACAUAAUCACUGUCAGUUGGCUUUCUGAAUCUGGAUAUUGCAAAUUAGUAUGUUAUUCAACUGUAAAGGCUGAUUUAAAUUUACUGUAUAAAUGUUAAAAUUGUUUCAUAUCCACUUUCUUCAAUAAAUAGUUUGCUUCAGCCAUUCUAUAAUAAACACACUUAUCAAUGACUAAUUUAGAUAUAAGAGAGAAAAAGAAAAUUUUAUAAUUAAAAACCCAGUUCUCUCUGUCCCCAUUAAAAUAAUUAUUUGAGGAUUAUUGGUUUGAAUUUUUGUGAACUUUGAGUCUGUCCAUGAGUCCAUAUUCCUAGAUCUAAUUCACUCUGAAUUUUGAGGUAUAGAUUCUUUUACAACUCAGAAAAACACAAAAAUCAACCUGAUUUUUCAUCUUGCAUGACAGAGAAUGGAUAGAACACUAUGACAGAGAAUGGAUAGAACACUAUGAUGAGCAGCCUUCAUUCCAUAUGUUAUCUUUAAAUCUUGCCAAUUUCAAUCCUUUGAUAGUAAAAUGUUUGCACAAGGCAAUGUUGAAGUCCAAUGUGGUGGCUCGCGUUUGUAAUCCAAGCACUUUGGAGGCCAAGAGGGAGGUACUGCUUGAGAACAGGAGUUGGAGAUCAGCCUGGGCAACACAGGGAGACACCAUCUCUACAUUUUUUUUUUAAUUAGCCUGCUGUGGGGUGGCACAUGCCUGUAGCAGCUACUCUGGAGGCUGAGGUGGGAGAUCACUUGAGCCCAGGAGGCAGAGGCUGCAGUGAGCCCUGAUUGUAGAACUGCACUCCAGCCUGAGCAACAGAGAGAAACCUGUCAAAAAAAAAGGCAGUAUGAGUAAAUUUAAAUAAGAA